GCCAACCUUGAAAUACCACCCUUUAAUGUUUGAUGUUCUAACGUGGACCCGUAAUCCGGGUUGCGGACAGUGUCUGGUGGGUAGUUUGACUGGGGCGGUCUCCUCCUAAAGAGUAACGGAGGAGCACGAAGGUUGGCUAAUCCUGGUCGGACAUCAGGAGGUUAGUGCAAUGGCAUAAGCCAGCUUGACUGCGAGCGUGACGGCGCGAGCAGGUGCGAAAGCAGGUCAUAGUGAUCCGGUGGUUCUGAAUGGAAGGGCCAUCGCUCAACGGAUAAAAGGUACUCCGGGGAUAACAGGCUGAUACCGCCCAAGAGUUCAUAUCGACGGCGGUGUUUGGCACCUCGAUGUCGGCUCAUCACAUCCUGGGGCUGAAGUAGGUCCCAAGGGUAUGGCUGUUCGCCAUUUAAAGUGGUACGCGAGCUGGGUUUAGAACGUCGUGAGACAGUUCGGUCC
rnacentral:rRNA from 1 species